rnacentral:lncRNA from 1 species
CUGAAUUGUUGACUCCAAUUCUCUGCCUCUUCCUCUUGACCUUGGGGAGUGGUACCAGCUGAAAGCUCUCAAGCCCGCAAGACUGAGUCUCCUUGCAAAUGGUUUGACCAGCCCGCUGGGUGCUCCCGGGCCUUCCAUUCAUCUUACUUAGAAGUCAUUUGGCUUGUUUGUUGAACAGGCAUUUUAAUACUGAGUUCUCCCUCGGGCUCUGCAGGGAAAAUCAGUGAUGAACUGUGAGCCAUGGGACACGCAUGGCGUGUGCAUGGCCUCACAGCUGAGUCGCUGUCUGCACCGCAUGAUUUAAGCUUUACUGUAAGAGCACGGUUGGCCCCAAAUAUUUCUUCUGCCUGAGUGUCACGGCCCUGAACUCCUCUCCAGCCUGGUAGUCACCGUUUUGACUUGUGGAAUUUUCCACAACCAGUUUCGAAUCUCAGGGUGGGCUGCCGAUCACUAGAUUCCCCUCAGCUGUCACUUCUCGCUCCCCACACACAACCUCUCCUCAUCAGGCUCAGGGUUGCAAACUAACUGAGCAGUUCAAGGAAAGCUUCUUUGGGAAGAACAUCCGAUAGGGAAGCAGAACACACGCGUACCAAAUCAAACCUAUGUUUCUUUUAGAGAAUCUGAAGAGAUGGAGCUCCCGUGACUCCCUGGGCGUGGAGACUGUGUGGGCGCUUCAGGGAGAAAAGGAAGAUAAUUGGCAGCUCUGGCCUCCAGCCUUUUUUUGGAACCACGGCAAGGAUCAAACGACUGGAGGUGUUUUUUCAUAA